UCUGGAGAAACUAAGCAAUCUGUGAACCAUUGGUAUAUGUCAUAUUUCAGAACACAACAUAUUUCAGUGCUUUGGCAUUGUAUGGUUGUCAAUGUACCAAAGCUUAUAGAGUCAGAUGGUUCAAGUUACAUAGUACAUUUAAUAAUCCUUAUGUCUCUCAAUAGUGUAACGAAUUAGGAAACACAUUAUAUAAUCCAUCGUAUAAACAAAAAUCAUUUCAGUAUUUAUUGAAGACGCCUUAUCUAUACAUUAUAGUGUAAAUUACAAGUUUUUGAGGUAAGCCAUGUACAUUCAACUAUGUGCUUCUGUAGGGCAACACAAACUACCGCAUCAUAUAGCCCAAAUGUCGGUUUCACAACAAGUCAUUACUUACAAAAACGGUGGAAAAAUUCUCGCUUGAUCAAACACACAGUUUGCAUAUUAACACUUUAGCAGCAAAAUGACUUGUCGUCUUGCCCUUGUGACAAAACAUAAGAAUCAGAAACUCUGAGAUGAAUCAUCGUGCCAUAAACCUAAAAAACCAAUGAACCAAUGAAACAGACAUAGUAUAUUACAACCCAUACGGUGGAUGUAAUAACAUAAAUUCUUUUAGGUUCCUUUUGUUUUUGUUCUUUCUCUCAGGGAGCAAACCUCCCAGAUAAACCAAGCGACAAUGAGGAACUAAAAUCGGCACCAUAAACACGAAUGAUUAGAUCCCACAGUGCAACUGGUUGUCUGCAUGCACCCUAGGUCAGGUGAUAUACUUCGAAGGUAACCUAAAACUGAGACCACUCUCUAUCUAUCCAUUUAUUAGCUAUUUCCUCAUUUAGUGUUUUUGUAAUAAAAAACUAACAUGUUGAGCUCAGAUGCUCUGUUUUUCCUCUGCAUAUAUGUAAAACAUGCUUGUGUCCUCCUCUUGUCUGAGGGGGGGAUCGGUUACUAUUGGGGGUUAUUUCUAUUCACUGAGAGCUCAAGCAUUGCAAUGUAUUUUGCGUUGAUACACGUCUUUACUUCAGUAUAAAAUAACCCUGACCUCACCGGGAUGAACUAUAGUCUUCUUUACGAAAGGUGACCAUGCUUCCUAUUGAACUGCAUGUAAAAUAAUAGUUUGUUAUCUGGUUCACACUUAUGUGGCUAUCAAGAGCUUGCAAGGACAGUCCAGUUUACACAGGAUCUUUGCUGGAUUUGCUAUUUAUGAUACUUCCGAAUUGGAUACAUAUUUCACCUGUAACAUGGUUUUUUUUGUAACUUGAAAUAACACAGGUUGUGAGUUUAUUGCAAGCAACUUAACUCUUUUAUCUACGUCAAGAACAAAGUAGUUAUAGCUCAAAUAAUACAUGAUGUCAGGAGGAACUUACUACAUAUGACAUUUAGUUGUGUGUCAUAUUUCAUAUAUUAGAAAAAUGUUAAAUUAUGAAAAUUAACUGGAGACCUUUUUAUUUUGUUUUCGUAGCUCAUAGUUUGGAAUUCUCCUGCAUAAUACUGGCAUUUUUCUUGUCCAAACAAUCAGUAAAGGACAACUUUGAAGACACUAAAUUUUUACAUAUUGUUCAUUAUUAUUAAUAGGGUUGUUCGGACAGUCCCUACCAUCGUCAUAAUUAACCUUCUUACCUUUCAAGGUUACAAAAAAUCUAACACCCCCAAACAAAUCUUAUGUUGCAAGCAACCUUUUUCAUGCUACCUUGUGCUGGGCAUGGCUCCUUGUAACAAAGAAGAGAGGAAUCGAUGCAUCCCCAAAAAUGAGAGGAGAAAUCAAGCAUCCAUUUGUGAGUAUCAUUAAUCUAACGUAUCUAACAUGUAGCUACACGAGCAUGAGGGAUCACAUUACAAGACAAAAUAAGAAAUGAACUCACCUCUUUAAGCUCUUUAUUUAUAUCGAUAUAUUCAGAAAUUCCAGCAUCAUUCUUUUUCUCCUUGAUAAGCUUCUUGACCUGAAGCACAUGGAUAUAAGAAACAUCUGUAAGUACACGAAAUGGAUUUAUCAUCUCAUGGUAGUGUUUACCCCUUAAUGGAUAAGAACCAUGCAUGAAAGCGCAUAUGGCAGGCUCCAUGAGCACAUCUCCGGUAAGUCCUGCAGAUAGCAAUUCGUAUUUAAUCCUAAAACUGAAACUCUCAUUUAGAAAAACAAACUAAGAACAGCUGCGACCAUGCCUGCACUGUACGUCUGUGCUCCAUGCCAGUAGAUCCCGCAUCGCCAUUCAACUCCUCUUUUAUUGUAAACCAAACAUAUAAAAUAUAGAAAUGGAGUCACUUUAUUGUUCUUCGGUCCUCAACCAAACACAUUAUAUACCAGGACUGUGUCCGGCCAGGCUUAGAAAAGAAAUUGGCGUCAAACCGGUAGCCGGAGCGGAGCCGCAGCCGGGGUGCCUUCGUCCCCUCUCUCGCGACCCGGGAGGCACGGUGGCAUGAUACUGUAUAGAGCCCCUGUUUGUUUCAGCUUUUUGGAGUUUCUGGCCACCAAAAGCUGCCGCAGACUGCCAAACGCUCAGCUUUUCAGUCAGCUUCUAUAAAAUUCAUUUGAUUAAAAACCAUUCAACAUCAACAUAAACAAAUAAUCGGUUGAGUCGUUGCAAUAGUAGGAAUCCGUCACUUUCUAGAUCCUGAGUCCUAUGGACACCUUUAUCUUCCUCCGCACGUAAUUCUAAUGAUACUUAAAUUCUCUACACAGCCAGAUUCUCUCCACAACCAGAUUCUCAUAAAAGCUGGUAAGAAAAAAGCUGAACCAAACAGGCCGGCUCCCGAUUUCGGUUUUACUUUCCCGUGUACGAGCUGUCCAUUUGCGUCCUCGUCCUCGUCGGCGUCGGUGAGUCGGGAGAUAUAUAACGCCCAACGCCGGCGUCCGCGCUGGCGUCAACUUCACGUGGACGCAGGUGCGGCGCAGCUGGAGCGCACACACAUGGUGGACGAGCUAGAGACCGUGACGACCUUGCGGAAACGUACAAACCUAUUAAUUGGCCAUGCCGACGAGGUGAAGCUCCGGCCGUGGUUAUCUGAUACCUAGACCGUCGGCGAGGCGAGACGCGUGGAUCGAUCAAGUGCCAACCAAAGACUGUGGCUGGCUGAUUACCUCGCGCACUCUGUCGUCGUGGAGCAAUAAUCGUUGGGACCGGUGGCAUUAUUGGUAACCUCGGUACGAUAAAAUCCCGUGGCUCCACGUUGCAAGUUGACUAGGCAAAUACACAGCCUAGCAACGCGCUGGCAGUGGCAGAUGCAUGCACUGGAUAACAUUCCGCACCGUACCCACCCAGCUGCCACGUGCCUCAUUGCCAUCUGCCUCAACAUAAAACACACCCCAUCCGCACGCACCCUCCUGACCACCUAAUAAGCAAAGAAUCCCUUUCACAGGCUCUCUCCUCUCUUCCGCCACCCGCGGAUAAACAAAGCGCGGUCGCGUCGCGCACCACCUCUGUCCUCGCAGAGACACGCACGCAACAGCAUCACUGACCCUCACCACCGCACCUGGCAUCGACCGAUUUCAUCUAUAGUAGCUGACCCUCGUCGAUCGUCACCAUGGAGGACCUGCAGCACCACGUCGAGGGCGUGAGGGCGCGGGGGCGCCAUCACCACCAGCACCAGCUCGUGCGCGAGCGCGGCCGCCGUCGCAUCGUCAAGGCCGCUGCCGCGGAGGAGCGCGCCCUCGUUGUGCCGCCGGAGGAGGAGACCUCGACGGAGGACAAGCUGCUGGAGGGGCCACGGGAUCAUGAAGGAGACGAUGAAGAGGUGGUGGUGGAGCAGAAGGUGGCGCUGCUGCGGCAGCUGGUGCCGGGCGGCGAGGGCAUGGCCGUGGAGGGUCUGUUGGAGGAGACGGCCGACUACAUCGCUGCGCUCAAGGCGCAGGUCGGCGCCAUGCGCGCGCUCACCUGCCUGCUGUCCGGUUCCGGUUCCGGUUCCGACCUCGACGCGCUGCGGCCAGAGUCGCUGGCUGCUGGCGUCCUCACGCCGGACAACCCCAUGUGAGAUCCAGAUCCACAGCAACCAGCGCCAUUCCUGGACUCUGGAGGACGUCUGUUGCUGUUGCUUUCCACUGGGUGGAUUGGUUUUAAUUUACCCAAGUCUAUAUUAGAGUUUUUGUCAGAUUCGUUUCCACAUCUGUGCACCGAAGCAACGUUUUGGAUGACAAUACGAGACUGUUGAAGGUCUUACGGAGUGCUUUAUUCGAAGCACGCUUGGUUGUCGAAAGAGCUUAGUUUUGUCCAAAGGCACCAGGAGAAAGCAAAGUGCGCAACAAACGGAGCGGGAGAGCGGGCAUGCUGGCGGGUGCCAACAACCUUAUCUUUCUACGAUCUAUAAUGCAAAAUACUAAAUAGGAAUAGUUUUUUUUUUUGCAUAUAUAUAUGGUCUAACAAACUAGACUGUCCAUGACGAUUGGAAGUGGGAGUCGAAGCACAUGGCCACAUGGGACAUGGUCACAUAUAUCGACAUGUGUGAUACGCCACCUUUGUUGUUCUAAAGGUGCUUUUCCCAUGUGUUCGAACAAUGGACUAGGGAUUUGACUUGAUCGAUCCUACGCUACGAUGCUAUUAAGGGUACUAGAACAUAAGGCGCCCUUGCGGGCGCCCUACAAUUUUAUGAAAUACUCCUGCACCAUUACUUGGCUAAUAUGUAUCACAAAGUUAAGGCUUAGAUGCGCUCCUUCAACAAUCACAUAUUCUUUCUGCUCUUCCUAGGAUGUAAUUAACAUGUCCAGGAUGGGCCUUGUACCUUUCUACUGUCAUUUGUUUGUUGCCAAUAAAUUCAGCUCUAGGAGGUAAUUCUGAAGAUCCAUGCUGAGAUUUGUUAUCCGAAGUCACAUCAUUGUCUCCACUGGUAUUUGGAUGAGAAACAACUGAGGUGUUACUUAAUUUUAUGACAGUUGAUGUGAGUCUCAACGAGUACUUAAAUUUUGGAUACCUUCGGGCACUGACUGAUAAUCAGCUGCUUUGUUGCUCGUGAAGAUGAUGAACAUGGCAGUGACUCCAGGGGGAACAUAUCCCUGCAACUGCAAGUGCCAUAGUCGACACAGGAUUGAAGCUUUGCUAACCUUUUCUUGUAACAGUUAUCAAUGUAGCUGUCAUACUCAACAUUGCAAAGGGCGCAAUAGAAUUUCCAGUGCAGUGAUAAUUAAUACAAAGUUGAACAUAAUUACCUCAUCAACUUCUGAUCUAAGAGAAAGAUAUUUGGCAGCAAUGAUGUGCCAACACCGGUCACAACGAUAGUUGUCAAGAUGCUCCACCACAGUGAAGUACUUUAGGCAAUCCACCAAGCUACACCCACUGGUCUAGUGUCAUGACAUAGGAUAAAUGUAACAAACAAAAAUACCAUUAAUGAGCAUAAAAUGGACAGCGAAUGAAUAAUUUUUUUUAAAAAAAACUUGAAUCAUCCAAUGAAAUUUAGGAAGGUUGACGCGGAUAUACAAUAUCUCCAUUUGCAUUAAGGACUGGCGAAAGAGGCAAGCAGUGGAAAUUCUCGAAGUCCAAUGACAGCUGUGAGAUAUGUAACAAGGGAGAACAUUAAAAUUAACAAAACAGGAGUAUUUUAAGCUAACUGUCAAAAUGCGCAAAAUAACUUAUUGGCAAUAUGAAAAUAGCAUCACUUGUUGUUGGCUAAAUUACUUCCAUAAUAAUAAUUCUUUAAUUUUACCACGGCUAGGAAAGGUAGGGGCAUGCACUGGACAUCGUGUCAAUAUCUAUGUAUCCAGUGGUAUAUCCGGAACAAAAUGCAUUCAUAUAUGAAAGACAACAGUAGGUUACUUUUUUAUAAGCCACAAUUCAACAGUGACAGAAUAAGAAGCAUAGGAAAUUAGGAAUCUACCACAGAAGAACAGUUUCUGCAAGACAAUAUGAUGCCAACUGUCACAUCAAAGGGGCCAAAUAGGUUUUGUUUCCAGCGCUUGCAUUCAGGCAGGUUACCUUCCCUUUGCUUGUAUACUUUGGAGUCAGAAAGGGUGAUGUUUGCCAGAGAACUCCUAUGUGGUACAUAACAAUGGGCAAAUUCAUCCCUCAAUGAGAUCAGAAGAUGGAGAAAAGCUUCUGAAGCAUCCUAUAAGGAAAAUUAGUUCUUAUGAUGACUGCACAUCUAAUGCAAUACUAAAAAAUGAAAACAAGAUAGAGAAGUAAAUAUUAUACCUGCUGUCUGGUCAGAUUGAAGCGACCAACAUACAAACUCAAAGCAUGCAUUACUCCAUGUGGAUUCAACACAGUCCUUUCAUCUCGAACUAUGCUUAAGUCUGCAACAUGCAAAGCUCAAGUACAAUAAUAACAAUUUGUGAGCAUGUAACAAAAAAGCAUUUAUAAUCAAAUGGUGGACAUCAAUAAUAGAGUGCCAUGCGGUUAUAUUUUGCAGGACAUGACCAAUGUCAGAAGAAUAAAGCGAAAAAGAUAAAAAGAAGUCCCAUUCAGUGGUUUUAUAUAGAAGCAAGAACAUAUUAUGUGGAGCAAAGAAUCCAAGCAAUGCAAAUAACAAGGACCUAUCAAUUCCCAAGAAAAUCGGAGCAUAGGAGAAAACACUGUCAAAAAAUUUAUAGGUUGCAUGGAUUCCACCACCGGUGAAUGCAUUAUGUUGCAUAUGCAGCUGAGGACCCCACAUGAUAUUUGAACUUAUAAGCCAUGUACUGUAUUAUAGGGGUUCACAUACAGCUCAAAAAUUCUCAAUAGAAGCCCCCACCCCCCUGAAAUUGCCUGCAGUAAAAGGACAAUACUUGCAAUGGACACUGAGUCGUAUUUAGAAGUUCACAGUGGGGAUCUCGAAAAUGAUAAGAAGUUCAAUAGUCCAUAGUAUAAAUCUUACCUUCCAAGAGAGAACUUAAAGCAAGAAGAAGAGGUAUUCUUACAGCCUUUUCUUCAGGUAGCAAGCCAUCAGUUGCAAGCAAAUUAUCUAGAAAGGAAAUAAAACCAUCACAGCUGGCAAGUGCCUGCCAAGGAAAGGCUAUCUUAUUUAGCAUUCACAUAGUUGGAUGUCAGUAGAAUUAGACAGUCAAUAUUUACCUGGAGGAUGACAUUAAGAAAGCAAUUGUUGCCAAGAUUUCGCUGACCUCCAACAUAGUAUGCCCUCCCUGAUCCCGAAAACAUAGCAGCAAAAUGACUUGUCGUCUUUCCCUUGUGACAAAACAUAAGAAUCAGAAACUCUGAGAUGAAUCAUCGUGCCAUAAACCUAAAAAAACCAAUGAACCAAUGAAACAGACAUAGUAUAUUACAACCCAUACGGUGGAUGUAAUAACAGAAAUUCUUUUAGGUUCCUUUUGUUUUUGUUCUUUCUCUCAGGGAGCAAACCUCCCAGAUAAACCAAGCGACAAUGAGGAACUAAAAUCGGC
rnacentral:lncRNA from 1 species